rnacentral:tRNA from 1 species
GGGGCUGUAGCUCAGCGGCAGAGCACUUGCCUGGCAUGUGUGAGGCACUGGGUUCGAUCCUCAGCACCA